rfam:Erinaceus europaeus unplaced genomic scaffold scaffold00179, whole genome shotgun sequence
GGAAGUGAGGGCGAUCUGGCUGCGACAUCUGUCACCCCACUGAUCGCCAGGGUUGAUUAGGUUGAUCUGGCUGGCUAGGCUGGUGUCCCCUUCCUCCCUCAUUGGUCCAUGUGCGUCCUUCUAGAAGCUGCACGCUUGGUUGAAGAGGACAGUCUUCCCUGAAUAGAGAUGGACCAAUCUUAGGUCUAAGGUAUAUGAGUAGCUGCGCUCCCCUGCUAGAACCUCCAAACAAGCUCUCAGGAAUAUUAUUUUCAACCAAAACACCAAAUAGCCUUGUUUCUUCUUCAGAAAAUGAUCUGCUCU